rnacentral:rRNA from 1 species
GUAGGUGGCAAGCGUUGUCCGGAAUUAUUGGGCGUAAAGCGCGCGCAGGCGGUUCUUUAAGUCUGAUGUGAAAGCCCACGGCUCAACCGUGGAGGGUCAUUGGAAACUGGAGAACUUGAGUACAGAAGAGGAAAGCGGAAUUCCACGUGUAGCGGUGAAAUGCGUAGAGAUGUGGAGGAACACCAGUGGCGAAGGCGGCUUUCUGGUCUGUAACUGACGCUGAGGCGCGAAAGCGUGGGGAGCAAACAGGAUUAGAUACCUGGUAGUCCACGCCGUAAACGAUGAGUGCUAAGUGUUAGGGGGUUUCCGCCCCCCUUAGUGCUGCAGCUAACGCAUUAAGCACUCCGCCUGGGAGUACGGCCGCAAGGCUG